GUCCUGGAAUUCCUGAGUGCUGGGAUUAAAGGCAGGUCCAUAUCCUUCAGUGAUGCUACUGAGCCACUCACGCGGGAGACUCCUUGAGUCUGGAGACAAAUCACAGGCAUCUACUCUAUCGUGCCCGUCACUUAUUUCUUCACAGGUCACACCAAAACUCUCGUCCCUUUCCCCUUUUAGAAACAGAUUAAUCUUUUUCCUUCCUCCUACUUCUCCCCCACUCUGCUACUUCUUCCCAAUCAUCCAAAGACACGAGGCAGAGUUUGCUUCCUUCCGCAUUUAUUGUACAACACAGGCAGAAGGUAGAAUUGGGGGCUCCAGGGCAGGCCAGUGGGGAGCUGGGGUAAGAAUGGUGCCCCACACUUCACUUAGCAUCAGAAGCUGGUUUCUCAAAGUUCAUAAAGCUGCUGAAGAAGUUCAUAAAAUCUUCUCUGGCUUUCUUGACCAGGGGUGUCAGCUGCUCUUGGGUCUUUUCAAAGUAAGCCCUAGGGUGGGGAAGCCCAGAGGUUGAUGUGAAGGGCCCCGAUCGCUGACAGGGUCUGUGUUGGUGGUGAAGGUCAGAGCUGACUGACCCAACCCAAGUUUCUAAGUGGUGCACCCUGAAGUACCCUGUAAAGUCUGGAAGAGGUUAGACCUUCCAUGCAGCCAGCAGGGCAUCAGACACUAACGACUAGAGUCCAAGGUCCACUUCCUGCUGCCCCCACCUGAGGAAUACACUGGAUGGAUCUACUGAGGUGAGGGAGGAAUUUUUCUUCCCGAUUUUUAAGCCUAAUCUCCAGGAACCCCAGCCUCUGAGUUAAGAUUCCCAGGAGAACGCCUAUCUUCCCAUUCUCUGCACCCCUGGAGCCCCUUGAGUCCUCUCCUAUAGACUUACCUGGCUUGGGUCUGGAUCUCCGUGCUCUUGGCCUUCUCCAUCAAGUCCUUGCCAUAGUCAGUCAUGGUCUGAAAAUACUGACUGAACAGGCUCUGCAGACCCGGCUCCUCUGCCUGU